CCUGCGAGCGCUUUUCUUCGCCGCCACCGGCUCCCCCCUCAUCAUCGCUGCAUCCCGACCGCAACCCUACAUGGCGCUACCGGCCGGCACGAAUCUGCGCCGCCCGCCCGACAACCUUCCUCUAGCAACCGCGCAACAUCGGAUCGAGCUAUCCUCGGGUCCCUAACCUCGAUGGUCGUCACCAUCGAGGCAGGUGGUGGACUGGCGGCGUGGACGUGGUGCCUGGCGGGGGAGGGGAGUGCCGCACUGCGAGCCUCGCUCCGGCGGGUUGCACGCUCGCCUCGCCGUUACAGGAGUGGGCAGGCAGUGGUCACCAUGGCGCGGCCUGGGUGCCCGCUGUUCUCCUUGCGCACAUGGUGCCACGGCUGGAUCCGCAGCACCACCGCCCGCCGCCCGUGUCGGCGCUCCCACAGCCACGUUCCCGUCCACCGUCGCCCGCACCCGCCUGCGCUCAUCCAUAGCGGCGUUCUUAAUGGCUUCAGUGACCACGCCGCCUCGGCUGCGACCCAGGCCUGCUUGGCCGCUGGAUGGAUGGAUACCGGCACUACAGGGCACAGACUUCAUGCUCGUGCCGACGGACUUCAUCCUUGAUGCCCUGGCUGCGACCCAUAUUGAUUGGCCACCGGCUGGAAGGGGACGUCCUGCUCCUCCCGACUAAGCUUGAUCGAUGUGGGGCGGUGGUACAGCCUGGUGUUUAGCAGGACCACAUGAGCGGUGACUAGCAUCCAGUAGGAGGCAGCAAGAAGCAGCGAAAACUCUGAGCUAGCUGCUAGCAAUGCACCCCUCCGCUCUCAUCUAAGUACAUGGAUUUUCAAUGGCCAAACUACUCUCUUGUUUCUUUCUCUAGCGUUUCCAGUUUUCACUAACAAUCCGUAUUUGGUAAACCGUGAACCAUGUUCAUGAGUAUCCGCCCACAACCUGUUUGAUGAUAUGCACAUGAAGGAUUGAGAUACAUUCUAAUUUUUAGGUCAAGCUCUUACCUCUGUUUAGAAAAUCAAUAUGAAGAAACAGGUGUAUCUGGUGUAUGAUCUACACUUAGAACAAGUGUAUCUGUUGUUCCAAGCUGCCGGCAUUGACGGCCAAAGAGUCGGCGAGGGUCCACGGUUCAUUUGUUUUCGUGGGGAUUAUUCAGUACAAUGCGAUCUACACUGAAGCCAAUCCGAUCCAGGUGAAAUCGGAAGUUGGUAGAUUAUUCCGACGACGGGGCUUUUACUUGUGCGGCUCUUACCAUUCCAUAGCUCUCAAGGCAUCAGGUCUGCUUUAGAGACAAACUCUCGCUCGGUUUAGUUUCCAUGUUGUGUUAUAUUCCGAUGAACUAUAUUCAUUACAAACGGUAAGCUGAAGUAGAUUAAUUAAAAAGGAUAAUAAAUUUGCUCAA